rnacentral:rRNA from 1 species
CCCAGCCAUGCGGCGUGCAGGAAGACGGCCUCUGGGUUGUAAACUGCUUUUAUUUGGGAAGAAACCCUGAUACGUGUAUCAGGCUGACGGUACCAAACGAAUAAGCACCGGCUAACUCCGUGCCAGCAGCCGCGGUAAUACGGAGGGUGCAAGCGUUAUCCGGAAUUAUUGGGUUUAAAGGGUCCGUAGGCGGACCUUUAAGUCAGUGGUGAAAUCUUUCGGCUCAACCGGAAAACUGCCAUUGAAACUGAAGGUCUUGAAUAUGUUUGAAGUGGGCGGAAUAUGGCAUGUAGCGGUGAAAUGCUUAGAUAUGCCAUAGAACACCGAUAGCGAAGGCAGCUCACUAAGCCAUUAUUGACGCUAAGGGACGAAAGCGUGGGGACGACAGGAUUAGAUACCUGGUAGUCCACGCCGUAAACGAUGAUCCUCGAUAUUG